CCUCCGGUGAUGAUGGAUAUCGGUGACUUUCGUUCUUCUGAGCUCGCUGAAGCCACACGCGAAAAUCUGAGGAGG
ensembl:snoRNA